rnacentral:rRNA from 1 species
AGUGAACGCUGGCGGUAGGCCUAACACAUGCAAGUCGAACGGCAGCACAGUAAGAGCUUGCUCUUACGGGUGGCGAGUGGCGGACGGGUGAGGAAUACAUCGGAAUCUACUUUUUCGUGGGGGAUCACGUAGGGAAACUUACGCUAAUACCGCAUACGACCUACGGGUGAAAGCAGGGGAUCUUCGGACCUUGCGCGAUUGAAUGAGCCGCUGUCGGAUUAGCUAGUUGGCGGGGUAAAGGCCCACCAAGGCGACGAUCCGUAGCUGGUCUGAGAGGAUGAUCAGCCACACUGGAACGGAGACACGGUCCAGACUCCUACGGGAGGCAGCAGUGGGGAAUAUUGGACAAUGGGCGCAAGCCUGAUCCAGCCAUACCGCGUGGGUGAAGAAGGCCUUCGGGUUGUAAAGCCCUUUUGUUGGGAAAGAAAAGCAGCAGGUUAAUACCCCGCUGUUCUGACGGUACCCAAAGAAUAAGCACCGGCUAACUUCGUG